rnacentral:ncRNA from 1 species
CCUACUGAGUUUAAGCAUAUCACGAAGCAGAGGAAAAGAAAUUAACAAGGAUUUCCCUAGUAGCAGCGUAGAAAUGAAAAGAGCCCAACUUGGAAAUUAGGGUAUCUUUACACCCCAAAUUGUAGUCUAGAGAAGGGUCCUCUACAGUAGACUAGGUUUAAGUAACUUGGAAUGGGAUGCUAGAGAGGGUGAAAGCCCUAUUUAGCCUAGACCUUGUUGCAUCACAAGGCUCUUUUGGUGAGUUGGGCUGUUUGAGAAUGUAGCCUUAAGUGUAGCACAUCUUAUUUCUCUC